GAUGAACGCUGGCGGCGUGCCUAAUACAUGCAAGUCGAGCGAAUGGAUUAAGAGCUUGCUCUUAUGAAGUUAGCGGCGGACGGGUGAGUAACACGUGGGUAACCUGCCGAUAAGACUGGGAUAACUCCGGGAAACCGGGGCUAAUACCGGAUAACAUUUUGAACCGCAUGGUUCGAAAUUGAAAGGCGGCUUCGGCUGUCACUUAUGGAUGGACCCGCGUCGCAUUAGCUAGUUGGUGAGGGAACGGCGCACCAAGGCAACGAUGCGUAGCCGACCUGAGAGGGUGAUCGGCCACACUGGGACUGAGACACGGCCCAGACUCCUACGGGAGGCAGCAGUAGGGAAUCUUCCGCAAUGGACGAAAGUCUGACGGAGCAACGCCGCGUGAGUGAUGAAGGCUUUCGGGUCGUAAAACUCUGUUGUUAGGGAAGAACAAGUGCUAGUUGACUAAGCUGGCACCUUGACGGUACCUAACCAGAAAGCCACGGCUAACUACGUGCCAGCCGCCGCCGUAA
rnacentral:rRNA from 1 species